CUGCCCAGAGAGAAUAAAUCAUCACUCUUGUGCCUUUUUGGAUAAAGAGAGAGAUGUUCAGAUGCAAACAAAGUAUCUUCAGUUUUAAUGAAGAUUAGGUGUGACAAAGCUAUAUGGAGUAAUGGAAGUACCAGGAAGAAAUUGCUUUUUGAAAAUGAAAAGCUUUUUAAAAAGUCACAAUAGGACUGAGAGAGCCGUGAGUGCAUUUUCUACCCUAACAUUUUGGCAUUACUCUAUGGAGCCUUCUGCUAUCAGCAAGGAAAGAAAAAUUGCAGUUGACAUCUACAACAUGCAUUUGUCUCCAUUAAUGCUUAGUGCAGGGACUGUGUUCACUUGGCUUCAUCUCUACCUGUCAGAUACUUUGCUUUCUAGGAGGAAAGAGAACAGGGAGAAACCAAGCAGAUUUCCUAAUGUGAAUCAGUUUUCUUAUGGAAGCUGUAGCCAAGGGUCGAAUCUGCAUCCCUGGGGAAGAAACCACAACAUUAUGGCCUUGUUCGUCACAUCUUGUUCAAGUCUGCUCUUCUAUCCACUCAUCUGUCUCCUGCACAAAAUUCUUCUGCCUGGCUUUUUAUUUCAGGAGCUAGGGAACAAUUUUCAAAUUUGGUGAAUCUUUCAAGGGUUAAAGAGAACAUGGAAAGCCUGUGGCAUGGAUGUGCUUUGAAAUGGAGAACGUAUCCCCACGUUACUGGUGCAGAAAGUAAAACAUGGCUGAAAGCCACAGAGUAAUUCUAUUAGUUACCAGAAAAAAAUGCUCCUUGGAGGAGACAUAAUGAACCCGUAAAGCUGAAAGGUGGCCCCUUAUAAGUGUUGUUUCACACUCACAGGAACAGUCCUGUGGACUGCUGGCAGUGAGCCUCUUGUCAACACAGUAGGGUGGAGACUCUGCAUUUCCUUCUAACUCAGAGCUGCUUCAUCACAUCCUUAGGGACUAUCCAUGGCUUGAUCGUGCUCAGGAGCUUUGUUCUGUAAUCUGGU
ensembl:lncRNA